UACGUAGGUGGCAAGCGUUGUCCGGAUUUACUGGGCGUAAAGAGCGCGCAGGCGGUCGAAUAAGUCGAAUGUGAAAGCCCCCGGCUUAACUGGGGAGGGUCAUUCGAUACUGCUCGACUUGAAGGCAGGAGAGGGAAGUGGAAUUCCCGGUGUAGUGGUGAAAUGCGUAGAUAUCGGGAGGAACACCAGUGGCGAAGGCGGUUGCCUGGGGCUUUGCUGACGCUGAUGCGCGAAAGCUAGGGGAGCAAACGGG
rnacentral:rRNA from 1 species